rnacentral:rRNA from 1 species
UUUUACCAAAAACAUCGCCUCUUGACUAACAUAAGAGGUCCAGCCUGCCCAGUGAAAAUUAAACGGCCGCGGUACUCUGACCGUGCGAAGGUAGCAUAAUCACUUGUUCUUUAAAUAGGGACUUGUAUCAAUGGCAUCACGAGGGUUGCACUGUCUCCUUUCUCCAAUCAGUGAAACUGAUUUUCCCGUGAAGAAGCGGGAAUAAAAUUAUAAGACGAGAAGACCCCAUGGAGCUUUAAAUUUAAUGGCAACUUAAUUACAUACUCCUUAUAUUUAUAAAGCUAUGCACGUUAAUUUUAGGUUGGGGUGACCGCGGAGAAAAAUUUAACCUCCAUGACGAAAAGAUCUAAAUCUUUAUCCGAGAACUACCUCUCUAAGAAUUAGAAUACUAACGGACAAUGACCCGAUAAUCGAUCAACGAACCAAGUUACCCUGGGGAUAACAGCGCAAUCUACUUUGAGAGCCCCUAUCGACAAGUAGGCUUACGACCUCGAUGUUGGAUCAGGGUAUCCCAGUGGUGCAGCCGCUACUGACGCUCGCGUCAUCA